ACAGUCACACAUUAGAUACCCGCGUAGUCCCAGCCGUAAACUAUGCGCGUUAGGUGUAUCGGUGACCACGAGUCACCGAGGUGCCGAAGGGAAACCGUGAAGCGAGCCACCUGGGAAGUACGGCCGCAAGGCUGAAACUUAAAGGAAUUGGCGGGGAGCACCACAACGGGUGGAGCCUGCGGUUUAAUUGGACUCAACGCCGGGAAGCUCACCGGAUAAGACAGCGGAAUGAUUGCCGGGCUGAAGACUCUGCAUGACUAGCUG
rnacentral:rRNA from 1 species